GGAGGUCAGAGCUCGGCGGGGUGCGGCUAGUGGCGGAGCGCACUGCGAGGGGAGGGCUUUCCACUGUGGCUGGCGUGAACUCGCGUGCCCGGCUUCACCAGGUACUGCUUUCUAACUUGAGUUGGCCAUUUCCACAUGUCAGAUAGGACCAAUUUUCCUUUUAACUACCCACGUAAUACUUAAACACUGUUGCCGGUAUCACAGCUUUUCUUCAAAACAGAGCAGUCAGUGAAGGCUCCCCAGGGGAGAUGACGUUUGAGCCGAGUUUCAGAAGAUGAUUGGAGUUUACCGUGUGUUCACAGGAAGCAACAAGAAUGAGGGCAUUCCAGUAGCAGGAGACAGCAUGCAUAGAGAUGCUGAUGAAGAAAGAGCCUAGCGCACAUGGGAAACUGCAAAAGUUCAGACUGGUUGGAAUGCUGGAAAUGUUGUGAAUGACAGGAGAUGAGGCUGGCGAGAAAACAGAGGUCAGAUUGUGGAAGGUUGUCAAGCCAAAGACUUUGAUUUUAUUCUUGAGAUUGAUGAGAUGUGUGUAAUCCAGGAGUGUGCAAGACAAUCUGUAAGGGUUCAUAAAACAUACUGCUUCUAUGUAUAGUUACCUUUGUCUUAACUUU
rnacentral:lncRNA from 1 species